rnacentral:rRNA from 1 species
AUACGGAGGGUGCGAGCGUUAAUCGGAAUUACUGGGCGUAAAGCGCACGCAGGCGGUCUGUUAAGCUAGAUGUGAAAGCCCCGCGCUCAACGUGGGGAGGUCUAUUUAGAACUGGCAGACUAGAGUUCGUUGGAGGAGGGGAGUGGAACUUCCGAGGUGUAGCGGUAGAAAUGCGUAGAGAUCGUGGAAGGAACAUACAAGUGGACGGAAGGCAACC